CCGGAAAAGAUCAGAUCUCUACACUUGACAGUGCUCGGUUUGGGAACGGCUUUGGGUUUGUGCGCACUUCUGAUUUUCUGUCUCAUUUAUUUCAUACUGAGGAGAAGAAAAUGUGAUAAAAUGAAAGCUUGUAUAGAAGAUUCUCCAGGAAUGAAGCAGGAAGCUGAAGCUGAAACACUGAAUUAUGCAGCUGUGCAAUUUACCAAGAGGAAAGCCAAAACUGAAAAAAAGAAAACUGGCUCAGCAGAUGAGUGUGUGUACGCUGAUGUGAAAAAAAACUGUAAGAUGUAACAGAAAUAAUUCAUAACACAUGAUACUAUUACACUGCAACAACAGUGAAAAUAUUUUACCAAGUGAAAAUAUAUUGACUAGACAAAUGUAAUCCAUAUUUUUCAUUACAAUGGUAUGACAUAUGAUGCGCUAAAAAAAAAAAACAAUACAAAACAAAACAGAAAAGUCUAGAAAUAAUUUUAUAUUUGUUUACACUAAUCUCAUAAUAAUAAUUAUAUUGAAGUUGCCUGUCUUUAAGAUAUUGUUUUAUUUGCAGUGUGGAUAAACUUCUAUGCUACAGGUUUUAUUUCUGUGCACACGUGUGAAGUAACUACGGAUGUAUUAACUUCAGUAACAAUGAACUUGUAAAAAAAAAUUCAACUUGUAUUUUUUUUGUUUGUUUAUGAUUUCAGUAAUUUAUUUUUUCACAAUA